rnacentral:rRNA from 1 species
UACGUAGGGUCCGAGCGUUGUCCGGAAUUACUGGGCGUAAAGAGCUCGUAGGUGGUUUGUCGCGUUGUUCGUGAAAACUCACAGCUCGACUGUGGGCGUGCGGGCGAUACGGGCAGACUUGAGUACUGCAGGGGAGACUGGAAUUCCUGGUGUAGCGGUGGAAUGCGCAGAUAUCAGGAGGAACGCCGGUGGCGAAGGCGGGUCUCUGGGCAGUAACUGACGCUGAGACGCGAAAGCGUGGGGAGCGAACAGG